UUAAAAAUUUUCUGUAUCAUUGAAUCGUUGGCAAUCUCUUUCCUUCAUCUCCAAAAGAGAAACUGCAAUUCUCCUUUCGGUUUGUAAUGGUGGAGCUAUUCUUCUUCAUCUUCAUACAUCUUCUACAAAUAGCAAAGUAAGUAAUUUCCUCGGCUAUUAUUCUGUAACUGCAAUUGCAUGAAGGGCGUCCGAGGUCGAGGAGCUAAAGAAAGUAAAGGAUUGAUGGCGAAGAUUUGCAGAAGAGAAACUGGAGACAUCUAACUAGUCAAAGAUGAAAGAUGAUGUGGAAGGCAGGAGUAAGGUUUUGGUACAGAGGGGAAUAAUUUACUCCUACUAAUUUACUUGUUGAAGUUGUUGACGAAAGGCUAGGUGUUGUAAUUUCUUCAAUCCUAGGAUUGUGGUGAGUUUUGUUAGUAACUAUGGGUUAAUUUUGU